UUGCCCUGGUCUCUUCCAAAUCGCCGACACCAACCGUCUCGUCUCCCUCCUCCGCCCAACCUCGCCGCCGGCCCUUCUCCUUCCAAUCUCCAUCUCGCAACCCCGGAGGCUACCGGAUCCGCCGCACCCCCCACCCACCCAUCCCUCGCGCGUCCAAUUUCUCUCUUCACACAGUUCCUCGUUGCGCCACCGGCGGUGGCUGCUUCCGGCGACGUUCGGCCAAUCCCGCCACCGCGAAACACAUCCUGAGGUCCUCUCGCACCACGGCGCCCUCCCAUCCACCUAGAUCGGCGCUCGCGGCCACCAAAGCCCACCUGCAACCCUCCCCCCAUGCCUAGGGUUUCGGCGUCGGCUCCGGCGCCGUUGGCCAUGUCGUCCUCGUUUCAUCCGCUGAGUGCAUCCCAUCCUCUCCCCUUGCUCCGUCCUAUCUCUCUCCUCCUUUUUUAACCUCUACUCUUCUCUUCUCCUGUAGACGUGUAGGGAGUAACGGCCACUGGACAGCCUUGCUGCUGCUCGGGACGAAGCAACCAUGUAGCUUUCUCCUCCUUCUCUGGCUUCAAAACUCGGAGGAGAAAUCAGAAUUGUCGUCAAAGUAACAACUAUGGAAGAGAUAAAAAGGUGCAUGGAGAAGGAUGUUAACGGAGUGACAAAGGUUGCAAAACUCACUGGAAUCAAAAUGACAACACUAGAAUAAAGAGCUCCAUGUACCAUCGAGCCUGUGUGGAUUAUUUGCAGUAGCAAGUGCCGAACGGCAGCAGCUUGCAGGGCAUGGUCUCUCCUGGGAAAGAUUCAGUGCACGCUCGCCUUUGCUAGCCCUUGAACAGAUAAGCACAUUUCAAAAAAAAAUGGUUUGUUUAAGGAGUGCUCUUAUAUAAGGAUAGCUAUUGCAAAUGUAGUUCAAAUGUUAGUUGAAAAAUAUUAAAUUUGAAAACAUUGCAUGUGCGAUAGCUGAAAUGAUAGUUGAAUUUGUACUCAUUUGACAAAUUAUUUUGUCGACCUUUCUUUAUUGUGGUUCCAUAGCAAAGCAUGUGCAUGAUGGUAUGAAAGGUUAAUCAUGAAGAUUGCAUACAAAAUACGUAUGCCCCUGUUGCAACGCACGGCAAUUACCUCGUAUAUUUUUAA